AACGAACGCUGGCGGCAUGCCUAACACAUGCAAGUCGAACGAAACCUUCGGGCUUAGUGGCGCACGGGUGCGUAACGCGUGGGAAUCUGCCCUUAGGUUCGGAAUAACUCCCCGAAAGGUGUGCUAAUACCGGAUAAUGUCUUCGGACCAAAGAUUUAUCGCCCUUGGAUGGGCCCGCGUAAGAUUAGCUAGUUGGUAGGGUAAAAGCCUACCAAGGCGACGAUCCUUAGCUGGUCUGAGAGGAUGAUCAGCCACACUGGGACUGAGACACGGCCCAGACUCCUACGGGAGGCAGCAGUGGGGAAUAUUGGACAAUGGGCGAAAGCCUGAUCCAGCAAUGCCGCGUGAGUGAUGAAGGCCUUAGGGUUGUAAAGCUCUUUUAACCGGGAUGAUAAUGACAGUACCGGGAGAAUAAGCUCCGGCUAACUCCGUG
rnacentral:rRNA from 1 species